rnacentral:rRNA from 1 species
UAGGGAAUCUUCGGCAAUGGGGGCAACCCUGACCGAGCAACGCCGCGUGAGUGAAGAAGGUUUUCGGAUCGUAAAGCUCUGUUGUAAGAGAAGAACGUGUGUGAGAGUGGAAAGUUCACACAGUGACGGUAACUUACCAGAAAGGGACGGCUAACUACGUGCCAGCAGCCGCGGUAAUACGUAGGUCCCGAGCGUUGUCCGGAUUUAUUGGGCGUAAAGCGAGCGCAGGCGGUUUAAUAAGUCUGAAGUUAAAGGCAGUGGCUUAACCAUUGUUCGCUUUGGAAACUGUUAAACUUGAGUGCAGAAGGGGAGAGUAGAAUUCCAUGUGUAGCGGUGAAAUGCGUAGAUAUAUGGAGGAGCACCGGUGGCGAAAGCGGCUCUCUGGUCUGUAACUGACGCUGAGGCUCGAAAGCGUGGGGAGCAAACAGG